UACGUAGGGGGCAAGCGUUGUCCGGAAUCAUUGGGCGUAAAGCGCGUGUAGGCGGUCCGGUAAGUCGGCUGUGAAAGUCCAGGGCUCAACCCUGGGAUGCCGGUCGAUACUGCCGGACUAGAGUUCGGAAGAGGCGAGUGGAAUUCCCGGUGUAGCGGUGAAAUGCGCAGAUAUCGGGAGGAACACCAAUAGCGAAGGCAGCUCGCUGGGACGUUACUGACACUGAGGCGCGAAAGCGUGGGGAGCGAACAGG
rnacentral:rRNA from 1 species